rnacentral:circRNA from 1 species
GUUAACAGAACCUUCUGGAUAUUUAACAGAUGGCCCAAUUAACUAUAAAUAUAAAACUAAAUGUACUUGGCUCAUUGAAGGCUAUCCAAAUGCAGUGUUAAGAUUAAGAUUCAAUCAUUUUGCUACAGAAUGUAGCUGGGAUCAUAUGUAUGUUUAUGAUGGAGAUUCAAUAUAUGCACCUUUAAUAGCUGUACUUAGUGGUUUGAUAGUCCCUGAAAUAAGGGGCAAUGAAACUGUGCCUGAAGUUGUUACUACAUCUGGCUAUGCACUGUUACAUUUUUUUAGUGAUGCUGCGUAUAAUCUAACUGGUUUCAACAUUUUCUAUUCAAUCAAUUCUUGUCCUAACAAUUGCUCUGGUCAUGGGAAGUGUACAACUAGUGUCUCUGUUCCAAGUCAAGUAUAUUGUGAAUGUGAUAAAUACUGGAAGGGUGAAGCUUGUGAUAUUCCUUACUGUAAAGCCAAUUGCGGCAGUCCAGAUCACGGUUACUGUGACCUGACUGGAGAAAAAUUAUGUGUCUGCAAUGAUAGUUGGCAAGGUCCUGAUUGUUCUUUGAAUGUUCCCUCUACUGAGUCUUACUGGAUUCUGCCAAACGUUAAACCCUUCAGUCCUUCUGUAGGUCGGGCUUCACAUAAAGCAGUUUUACACGGGAAAUUUAUGUGGGUGAUUGGUGGAUAUACUUUUAACUACAGUUCUUUUCAAAUGGUCCUAAAUUACAAUUUAGAAAGCAGUAUAUGGAAUGUAGGAACUCCAUCAAGGGGACCUCUCCAGAGAUAUGGACACUCUCUUGCUUUAUAUCAGGAAAACAUCUUUAUGUAUGGAGGCAGAAUUGAAACAAAUGAUGGCAAUGUCACAGAUGAAUUAUGGGUUUUUAACAUACAUAGUCAGUCAUGGAGUACAAAAACUCCUACUGUUCUUGGACAUGGUCAGCAGUAUGCUGUGGAGGGACAUUCAGCACAUAUUAUGGAGUUGGAUAGUAGAGAUGUUGUCAUGAUCAUAAUAUUUGGAUAUUCUGCAAUAUAUGGUUAUACAAGCAGCAUACAGGAAUACCAUAUCUCAUCAAACACUUGGCUUGUUCCAGAAACUAAAGGAGCUAUUGUACAAGGUGGAUAUGGCCAUACUAGUGUGUAUGAUGAAAUAACAAAGUCCAUUUAUGUUCAUGGAGGGUAUAAAGCAUUGCCAGGGAACAAAUAUGGAUUGGUUGAUGAUCUUUAUAAAUAUGAAGUUAACACUAAGACUUGGACUAUUUUGAAAGAAAGUGGGUUUGCCAGAUACCUUCAUUCAGCUGUUCUUAUCAAUGGAGCUAUGCUUAUUUUUGGAGGAAAUACCCAUAAUGACACUUCCUUGAGUAACGGUGCAAAAUGUUUUUCUGCCGAUUUCCUGGCAUAUGACAUAGCUUGUGAUGAAUGGAAAAUACUACCAAAACCAAAUCUUCAUAGAGAUGUCAACAGAUUUGGACACUCUGCAGUAGUCAUUAACGGGUCCAUGUAUAUAUUUGGGGGAUUUUCUAGUGUACUCCUUAAUGAUAUCCUUGUAUACAAGCCUCCAAAUUGCAAGGCUUUCAGAGAUGAAGAACUUUGUAAAAAUGCUGGUCCAGGGAUAAAAUGUGUUUGGAAUAAAAAUCACUGUGAAUCUUGGGAAUCUGGGAAUACUAAUAAUAUUCUUAGAGCAAAGUGCCCUCCUAAAACAGCUGCUUCUGAUGACAGAUGUUACAGAUAUGCAGAUUGUGCCAGCUGUACUGCCAAUACAAAUGGGUGCCAAUGGUGUGAUGACAAGAAAUGCAUUUCGGCAAAUAGUAACUGCAGUAUGUCUGUCAAGAACUACACCAAAUGUCAUGUGAGAAAUGAGCAGAUUUGUAACAAACUUACCAGCUGUAAAAGCUGUUCACUAAACUUGAAUUGCCAGUGGGAUCAGAGACAGCAAGAAUGCCAGGCUUUACCAGCUCAUCUUUGUGGAGAAGGAUGGAGUCAUAUUGGGGAUGCUUGUCUUAGAGUCAAUUCCAGUAGAGAAAACUAUGACAAUGCAAAACUUUAUUGCUAUAAUCUUAGUGGAAAUCUUGCUUCAUUAACAACCUCAAAAGAAGUAGAAUUUGUUCUGGAUGAAAUACAGAAGUAUACACAACAGAAAGUAUCACCUUGGGUAGGCUUGCGCAAGAUCAAUAUAUCCUAUUGGGGAUGGGAAGACAUGUCUCCUUUUACAAACACAACACUACAGUGGCUUCCUGGCGAACCCAAUGAUUCUGGGUUUUGUGCAUAUCUGGAAAGGGCUGCAGUGGCAGGCUUAAAAGCUAAUCCUUGUACAUCUAUGGCAAAUGGCCUUGUCUGUGAAAAACCUGUUGUUAGUCCAAAUCAAAAUGCGAGGCCGUGCAAAAAGCCAUGCUCUCUGAGGACAUCAUGUUCCAACUGUACAAGCAAUGGCAUGGAGUGUAUGUGGUGCAGCAGUACGAAACGAUGUGUUGACUCUAAUGCCUAUAUCAUCUCUUUUCCAUAUGGACAAUGUCUAGAGUGGCAAACUGCCACCUGCUCCCCUCAAAAUUGUUCUGGAUUGAGAACCUGUGGACAGUGUUUGGAACAGCCUGGAUGUGGCUGGUGCAAUGAUCCUAGUAAUACAGGAAGAGGACAUUGCAUUGAAGGUUCUUCACGGGGACCAAUGAAGCUUAUUGGAAUGCACCACAGUGAGAUGGUUCUUGACACCAAUCUUUGCCCCAAAGAAAAGAACUAUGAGUGGUCCUUUAUCCAGUGUCCAGCUUGCCAGUGUAAUGGACAUAGCACUUGCAUCAAUAAUAAUGUGUGCGAACAGUGUAAAAAUCUCACCACAGGAAAGCAGUGUCAAGAUUGUAUGCCAGGUUAUUAUGGAGAUCCAACCAAUGGUGGACAGUGCACAGCUUGUACAUGCAGUGGCCAUGCAAAUAUCUGUCAUCUGCACACAGGAAAAUGUUUCUGCACAACUAAAGGAAUAAAAGGUGACCAAUGCCAAUUAUGUGACUCUGAAAAUCGCUAUGUUGGUAAUCCACUUAGAGGAACAUGUUAUUACAGCCUUUUGAUUGAUUAUCAAUUUACCUUCAGCUUAUUACAGGAAGAUGAUCGCCACCAUACUGCCAUAAACUUUAUAGCAAACCCAGAACAGUCGAACAAAAAUCUGGAUAUAUCAAUUAAUGCAUCAAACAACUUUAAUCUCAACAUUACGUGGUCUGUCGGUUCAACAGCUGGAACAAUAUCUGGGGAAGAGACUUCUAUAGUUUCCAAGAAUAAUAUAAAGGAAUACAGAGAUAGUUUUUCCUAUGAAAAAUUUAACUUUAGAAGCAAUCCUAACAUUACAUUCUAUGUGUACGUCAGCAACUUUUCCUGGCCUAUUAAAAUACAGAUUGCAUUCUCACAACACAAUACAAUCAUGGACCUUGUGCAGUUUUUUGUCACCUUCUUCAGUUGUUUCCUAUCCUUAUUGCUGGUGGCUGCUGUGGUAUGGAAGAUCAAACAAACUUGUUGGGCUUCUCGACGGAGAGAG